rnacentral:rRNA from 1 species
AUCUGGGCGGCGGAAUUCAGGAUGGCUGGCGCGUCUUCGCGGCGCGUCAGUCGUUUGAUAUUUCCGUCGUCAACACGCAGACGUCGCGACCUGUUCGCGGUCGGUCGAGGAGCCGCGUUCGAGUUCGUUGUGUGCGCGUUUCGGCGUGCCACGCGGCGAAGGCGCGGAUCUCUGGCUGGCCGUCGGACAGUAUGCUCAACGGUGUCCGGUGUCGCCAUCGCGCGUGCACCGGUACCGGUCAGCGACGAAUUCUUCGGGCCUCUUUCCGACCCGUCUUGAAACACGGACCAAGGAGUCUAACAUGCGCGCGAGUCGCGGGGUGUCGAGCGUACUUCGGUGCGUUCGUUACGUUUGCGAAACCCGUACAUGUCGAAGGCGUAAUGAAAGUGAAUGGGGAAGAUGGUGUUCCGAGUUCACGUUCCGCGAUCGCUGGUAUCGCGGCCGGACACCCGCAUUCCCGGGGCGUCUCAACGGCCCGUCGCUGACGCGGACCGUCGUCUCUCGGGGCGGCUGUCGGUCGGCGAUGAACCGA